rnacentral:rRNA from 1 species
UACGUAGGGUGCGAGCGUUAAUCGGAAUUACUGGGCGUAAAGCGUGCGCAGGCGGUUCGUUGUGUCGGCGGUGAAAUCCCCGGGCUCAACCUGGGAAUGGCCGUUGAAACUGGCGAACUGGAGUGUGGCAGAGGGGGGUGGAAUUCCGCGUGUAGCAGUGAAAUGCGUAGAUAUCCGGAGGAACACCAGUGGCGAAGGCGGCCUUCUGGGAUGCUCCUGACGCUCAGACACGAAAGCUAGGGGAGCGAACGGG